rnacentral:rRNA from 1 species
UUUGAUCAUGGCUCAGGAUGAACGCUAGCUACAGGCUUAACACAUGCAAGUCGAGGGGAAACGAUAUUGGAAGCUUGCUUCCGAUAGGCGUCGACCGGCGCACGGGUGAGUAACGCGUAUCCAACCUGCCCACCACUUGGGGAUAACCUUGCGAAAGUAAGACUAAUACCCAAUGAUAUCUCUAGAAGACAUCUGAAAGGGAUUAAAGAUUUAUCGGUGAUGGAUGGGGAUGCGUCUGAUUAGCUUGUUGGCGGGGUAACGGCCCACCAAGGCGACGAUCAGUAGGGGUUCUGAGAGGAAGGUCCCCCACAUUGGAACUGAGACACGGUCCAAACUCCUACGGGAGGCAGCAGUGAGGAAUAUUGGUCAAUGGGCGAGAGCCUGAACCAGC